UGCGUAGGGUGCAAGCGUUGUCCGGAAUUAUUGGGCGUAAAGAGCUCGUAGGCGGUCUGUCGCGUCGGCUGUGAAAACCCGAGGCUCAACCUCGGGCCUGCAGUCGAUACGGGCAAACUAGAGUACUGCAGGGGAGACUGGAAUUCCUGGUGUAGCGGUGAAAUGCGCAGAUAUCAGGAGGAACACCGGUGGCGAAGGCGGGUCUCUGGGCAGUAACUGACGCUGAGGAGCGAAAGCGUGGGGAGCAAACAGG
rnacentral:rRNA from 1 species